rnacentral:lncRNA from 1 species
UGUGCAAGGGAAAUCAGCACAGGCUACGUCACUGGUUCUUUUAAAUAUAUAUAAAAAAUCAGAAUAUAUUAUAUAUAUACAUAUAUAUACAUAUACACACACACAUAUAUAUAUAUAUAUAUACAUGCUGCAGGAAGAACGGCCGAAAACAUGAAAGACACCAGUAUGGUCAGAUCAUGCUCUCUCUUUAUUACCAAAAUAGCCUGAUUCUCAUAGCAAACUUAACAGGCAGAUAGUGUCUCACACAACAUUAUUGGUCAAAAGUACUCAGACAAACAACUGCAAGAAAACAACCCCACCUGCAAGAAAACAACCCCCUUGUGAUUAGCAGCUGUGUAGGUCUUGUCCUUGAAGCCAGCUGCUGGCAACAAUAUUUUAAUUCCUCAAUCGGGCGAUAUGGGAACAUGGUCAUGGGAACGCCUCGUAGUUGCCCUGGUACCUUGGUUUGAAAAAUUGGGGACACCAACAGAGGAUCCAAAUGGAAUCAUUUAAUUGGAGCGGCUCUAGCAAAGCAAAGAAAAAGGAGACCUAAGGUAGGAUGUCUUUCUUUCUUUCCUUCUUUCCUUCUUUCCUCCCUUCUUUCUUCCUUCCUUCCUUCCUUUCUCUUUCUUUCUCUCUUUUCUUUUUUCUUUGUUUCCUACCUUUCUUCUUUCCUUCCUUCCUUCUAUUUUCCUUUCCUUUCCUUUCAUUAGUUUUUUUCAUGUAUGAAAAUAUUUCUCAGAUGAUACCAGGGGGACAAAAAAGGGGGACCUUCAGCUCCACCUAAAACACUACAGUCCACAAAGGAUGUAAAGCCACUGACAGCUGCGGUGUGACCACAAGGUCAAUUAAGACCCUGUGUAAGGGAAAUCAGCACAGGCUAGGUCACAGGUGCUUAUAAAUAUAUAUAAAAAAUCAGAAUAUACGUAUAUAUAAAUAUAUAUAUAUAUAUGUGAGUAUAUAUAUAUAUAUAUAUAUGAAUAUAUAAAAAUAGAAAAGGAGAAUUUACAAACUACAAUAAUGGUCAGUACCCAGGAAAGGGCACCUGCAAAAAGGCAGACCAGUGUGGGAUCUGUAAUCACAUAUUGCCAGCCGUACCCUGGGGUGCACCAAGCACGGCAUCGCUAGUCGGUCAAGGGAAGGAACUGUCCUGCCUGCCUGCCCUGCGCUGUGCGGCCUCACCUCCAGUGCUGUGAGCAGUUCUGGGCACCACAGCACAAGAAGGACACGAAACUGUUGGAGGGUGUCCAGAGGAGGGCGAUGAAGAUGGUGAAGGGCCUACAGGGGAAGAUGGCUGAGGGCACUGGGCCUGGUCAGCCUGGAGAAGGGGAGGCUGAGGGGGGACCUCAUCGCGGUCUGCAGCUUCCUCGUGAGGGGGAGUGGGGAGGCAGGUGACCUGUUCUGUGUAAACACCAGUUGUUAGCUGGAGGAAAAGGAAAGGCUCUCGAGCACCAUCACUGAUCUACAGGACAGGAGAUGAGCAGUCGGGAACUACGGGAAGCUCCCUUACAAAAGAGCUGCAAUCUAACCUAGAUGUAUUACAAAGAAUCCUUAAGACUCAAAAUCAUCCAGUAUCCACUUUGGCACUAGUUCAGUUUCUGGACUGGCCUAGGAGGAAUGUACCAGCUUUUCCAAUGACUGGUUCUUCGGAUGUCACCCCCCAGGUGGUGACAAAUCCACCCGUGCCGUUCUGCAGGAAGGCAGAUGGAUGCUUCUCGGUGAGUAUUAAAUAUUCCUUGUUACAUGACGAGUAUCUGCAGCAACCAGAGAAGGAGACACCUCAUGUU